CCAGGAGCGGAUCCAACGCAAGCGGCGGGAGCGGCGAAAGAAAUGCUGUUACCUUACCUUCCAUUCAACAUCAUUUCAUACCCUUGCUGAAGCCAACUGAAAAAACUGCAGUGUAUUCAUAUAUAAGAAAAUCAGAAGGAAUGUUCCACCAACGAAGCUAGAAGGGAGGGUUUUUAUUAGUUGAGAGAAAGCGAAAUGAGGUUUGUUUUUAUAAUAAUUUAUUACGUGUACAGCAUUUUCAAUAAUUUUAUUAUUUUGCCUUGAUUGUUUUCGCCCCUCCCCAUUGUGGGGCUUCGGCGAUUGUUUGAAACUAACAGCCAGUCUACAAUGCUCUACUGCCACUGAUUCGAUUAGGUGUCUAAUUUGUAUUUAUUGUUAAGUUUCUUUAAAUAAAAAAGCUAUGGGCCCCCCACCCUUGAGGGCUGAAUGCGCUCCUGGUCUGUUCGGCCAGUGCCGGUUCUCUGUUGUGCAUACUCAUACACAGGCAUUCACUGUACGAAAAUCGUAAGAAUGGAUGUGCAUGGGUGUGUGUAUUGUGUGACGCCGUCGUCGCAUGCGUUUUUUUGUGAAAAAGGGGGAGCCAGAUCGUUACCCAGCCAGAGCUGCCAGGUGGGGAAAUGAUGGAACUAGCUAGAAUUGUUGAAAGUACCACCGAUGGUACUCCGUAUUUGGUAAUUGGUAUUAAAAAGAGUUGGACGCUCACACAUA
rnacentral:sRNA from 1 species